ACAUUUUCCUCAUCAUGGGCAUAGUCGGUAUUGCCUUGGUUGUUGUUGUUCUCCUGAUUGUGCUGAUAAGUUGCUGCGUCUGUCGGAAUUUGAAGCAACGUAGAAAAUCCAAAGAAAGUCAGGUAAAGAUGACAACUGAUUACUGUAACGUUUGACCAUUCCACCUGUUGUGGGCAAAAGAAAACAUCAUAUUAAUAUAAAAAAAAGCAUUUCAAGUUUUAGAAAAAAAAUUGAUGCGAAACAGCCAGAUGACUAAAGAGAGGAACAAGAGAAUGAAAGUAAAGGUAAAAAAAGAAAGAAAAGAAAUGCCCUGUCUAUUGAGCGGUUGACAUUGGUGGCGGCAGAAAUUUUUUUGCGGUAGCUUAGCAGUUGCUAUAUGACAGACAAGAGUUGCUGGCCGAACGACAAACUUCUCCAUUUUAAAACUCACUGUUAUCCUACAAGUUUAUCUCUUUGCUGAUUUAUGUUAACCUUCCUUACAUGAUAUUGCGAGAUUUGUCUAAGGUCAAACAAUAUAAGGAUUGCUCCACACAGUCAGUGUUGAUCAAUCUUUAUAUUUGAAAUAAGAAUUAACCCAUUAUUAAAUUACUAUGGUGUGUUUUUGGUUUUCGAUAACAAAAAUCUUGGGGUUGCUUAGCAGUUGCUAGGCCAAAUCUACACGUUGCUAUAGCAACUCCAAGCUACCCCCUGGCACCUCCCAUGGCCGUUGACCAGUUUAUUGCAAAACUACCUUAGCAAACUUUUUUUAAUCAUGUGGUACUGCUAACAUAAUGAUCUUUAAAUGUGUAUAUUCUGAGAGCCCCUGUUUACUCAACAUCUGGUCAUAUUAGCUGCGUUUACAUGGACAAAAGUAAUCAGAACAAAUGGCUGAUCGGAAUAAAAAUGCAUCAUGUAAACAAGGCAAUCGCAUUAUCGUGUGUCAGAAUAAUCGGAAUGAAAUUGUAAUCCGAAUGAGAGGAGUAGUUUAUGUCGAUUGAUAAGCCGAUCAACAUGCAUAUGAAUGCUUGUCAGGCUCAAGUUAUUCCGAAUGCUGCAAACAAUCCUGUGCUGUGUUUCCGCGUUGUUGGGUGGCAAAAAUACGUUGGGUAGCAAAACUGUCGGGGCUGAUGAUACAACAUUUCUGUUAGAAAAAAUAAAAGAGCUCAAAAUUGCUGCUUACUUAGUAAUCAACAACCAAGAAGACUUUAUUGUCACCAUGUGUUACCAUGGUGAAAUUGCCUUUGAGGCAGACCGGCUUAGGAUGUACAGAAAACAAUAAAACUAAAGGGGAAAAAAAAAGAAAAAGAUUAACAGUAACGUUUCAACUGUAAUUAGAACCUAGUGCAAGUCGAGCCUGUGCGCUCGAAAGACUGUUUAAAAUUUUUUGCUGUUCAGCAAAGAUGUAAGUACUGCUUAUUCUGUGUUUUUUUUUUUUUUAGGGGAAUUUGAUAACUGCACAUGUCAGUGUAGUUCUGAUCUAAAUAAAGCCAGGUGCAUAUACACUCACAUUAUAAUCAGAUUAAUUGAUUAUGUUCCCAUAUAAACGAUACAAUCUGAUUAUUAAAUCUAAAUACAUUUUAAUCUGAUUGUGAAAUUUUGUGCAUGUAAACAUUGUGAUUUUCGCAUGUUAUGUUGUGCUGGGGUAAUUUUGUGUUAUCAAUCUCUGUUAGCUCUGUUUCCUGUUUCAUUUUGAUAUAAUUUUCAUUUGUUUACUUUAGUUUAUUUUACUUUCUGUCCCCUUGUCCUCAUAUGAUUCUGAGUUGCCUGCCCUGCAGAGGAUUAUGGGGUCUUUUAUUUAAAUGUUCUAUAUCUAAUGGUUAUAGCAAAUGGGUCCUCCCAUAGAUUCUUUUUGAACAUGCAUAAUAAAUAAAGAUAAUGCCCUCAGCA